GACAUCCAGCGAACUUUCCAGAGAUGGAUUGGUGCCUUCGGGAACGCUGAGACAGGUGCUGCAUGGCUGUCGUCAGCUCGUGUUGUGAAAUGUGGGUUAAGUCCCGCAACGAGCGCAACCCUUAUCCUUUGUUGCCAGCGAUUCGGUCGGGAACUCAAAGGAGACUGCCGGUGAUAAACCGGAGGAAGGUGGGGAUGACGUCAAGUCAUCAUGGCCCUUACGAGUAGGGCUACACACGUGCUACAAUGGCGCAUACAAAGAGAAGCGACCUCGCGAGAGCAAGCGGACCUCAUAAAGUGCGUCGUAGUCCGGAUCGGAGUCUGCAACUCGACUCCGUGAAGUCGGAAUCGCUAGUAAUCGUGGAUCAGAAUGCCACGGUGAAUACGUUCCCGGGCCUUGUACACACCGCCCGUCACACCAUGGGAGUGGGUUGCAAAAGAAGUAGGUAGCUUAACCUUCGGGAGGGCGCUUACCACUUUGUGAUUCAUGACUGGGGUGAAGUCGUAACAAGGUAGGCGUAGCGAG
rnacentral:rRNA from 1 species